CGCAUAUUGCGCCCUUUGGUAUUCCGAAGGGCAUGCCUGCUCGAGCGUCAUUUCAAAACCUCAAGCCUAGCUUGGUAUUGGGUGCUGCGGUCCGAAUGUGACCCGCCCGUAACUUGUUGGCGGUACCGACCGGCUUCCAAGCGUAGUUAGAAUCUCCCUCGCUUUAGAAGCUCCGGGUGGCACCUGCCGGGGAACCUUCUUAGUUUGACCUCGGAUCAGGUAGGGAUACCCGCUGAACUUAA
rnacentral:misc_RNA from 1 species